UACGUAGGUGGCAAGCGUUGUCCGGAUUUACUGGGCGUAAAGAGCGCGCGGGCGGCCAAGUCAGUCGAAUGUGAAAGCCCCCGGCUCAACUGGGGAGGGUCAUUCGAUACUGCUCGGCUCGAAGACAGGAGAGGGAAGUGGAAUUCCCGGUGUAGUGGUGAAAUGCGUAGAUAUCGGGAGGAACACCAGUGGCGAAGGCGACUUUCUGGCCUGUUCUUGACGCUGAGGCGCGAAAGCUAGGGGAGCAAACGGG
rnacentral:rRNA from 1 species